rnacentral:misc_RNA from 1 species
GGUCUUUGUACACGGGCGACGCGUAUUGCGGGCGGCGGUUCUGUCAUCCGCGAAAGGGUUGCAUUUAUUCUCGUAUUUUGGUAUAUUUUCCGUGUGCAAUGGCUGACACAGUUGUUGAUAACAGUAAUGGGGGUGGCUAUUUCAUGCGAGGAGGAUUCCGCGGUCGCGGAGGUAGAGGACGUGGGGCUGUUCGCGGCGGCGAGUUCCGGGGAGGUCGUGGAGGCGGCGGAGACCAUAGAGGCGGCCGUGGAGGUGGUGGAGAUUUCCGUGGCGGCCGAGGAGGCGGCGAAUACAGAGGCCGUGGCGGAUUCCGUGGAGGAAGGGGAGGAAUGGGCAUGCGGAAUCCAGAGGAACGCCUCAUGGAGAAACUUCAGGCAGUUGCUGGGCCUACAUAUGAUCUGCCAGUAGCUGAUCAAAAGGAGAAAAAGAAGUUUACAAACAAGUGCCGUUUGUUUGUGGGGAACCUGACUGAUGAAACAACCAUGGAGGAAUUCCAAGAGAUGUUCAAAGUGUUUGGUGAAAUCGCCGAACCGUACCUGAAUCUGGAGAAGGCAUUUGGCUUUAUAAAACUGGACUACAGGGAGAACGCCGAGAAGGCGCGCCAGGCGCUGAACGGCACGAUGCGUAAUGGCCGCCUGCUGAAGGUGCGCUUCUCCUCGAUGGGCUCCAGUCUCAAGGUGAAGCGGCUCUCGCCUUGGGUCAGCAACGAGCUGCUCGAGCUGGCCUUCUCCGUCUUCGGUGAGCUGGAGCGUGCCGUCGUUAUCGUGGAUGAGCGCGGAAAGUCGACUGGCGAGGGCAUUGUAGAGUUCGCCAAGAAGCCCUGUGCGCUGGCUUGUCUGAAGAAGUGCACAGAAAGCAGCUUCUUCAUCACUGAGGGCCUAUGUCCGGUUGAAGUUGAAACCCUGCAAGAAGAUGACGAGGAGGAGGGACUGUGCGAGAAAGUCCUACCAAAGAAACACCAGGAGUACAGACGUGAACGCUCGACGGGACCGCGCUUCUCCGUGCCGGGCAGCUUCGAGAGUGAGUACGGAAGCCGUUGGAAGCAGCUCUACGACAUGGAGAAGCAGCGGCGCUCCCAGCUGGAGAAGGAGAUCAAGAUGGAGAUGGACAAGCUGCGCGACCAGAUGGAGUUCGCGCGCCGUGAGCACGAGACGGAGAUGUUGCGCGAGCAGCUGCGUCGCCGCGAGAUGGAGCAGGAGCGCUCCAAGGGUGACUGGGACGUGCGUCAGCAGCAGCGCGAGGAGGAGCGCCGCCGUCUGGAGGAGGACAUGCAGCGCCGCCAGGAUGCCAUGCAGACGCGCAUGCGCCAGUCGGAGGACGAUAUGAAGCGACGCCAGCAGGAGAACCAGCUGUUCAUGCAGGCGAGCGAGCUGAGCAGCCUGCUCGACCAGCAGGAGCAGGUCAUGUGGGGCGACCAGGCGGUGGGCGCCGGGCCGCCGGGCGAGCAGGACGCCGGCUUUGGCGGCCGGCCCGGCUGGGGCGUGCCUCCGCCCGGCAGCUUCGACGGACACGGUGGCGGCAUGGGACGCGGCGGUCGGGGCGGCGCCCAGCUGGUUGGCGUCGGCUGACCGAGGGCAAGGAGCGUCGCUUCCCACCUGACCCGAGACCUGCUGACCCGGCCUGAGCCGUAUCGGACCGGAUCGGACCGGAUCCGGAAGCAGCAUCUGUGACGGGACCGGACAAGGCCCGCUGGACCAGCGCGAAGCGCUGCGAGGUCGCCCUGUCGGCCAGAGGUCGGCGCGGACUCCGGGCCUCGGCGGGAUCGGGACGCCGUCCAUCGCAGCUCAGUCCGCACCCCGGCCGACACCCGGCCCCCGGCUCCCGGCCCCCGGCUCCUGGUCCGCGACGGCGACACAGAGGUGGCGCCGCCAGGCGGACGUCGGCGGCGGGCGAGAGAGAGUCGGUCGACGUGUACUGUAUGCACAUUCGC